rnacentral:rRNA from 1 species
AGAGAGAGACAUGCGCGCAUAUCAAUAAGCGGAGGAAAAGAAACUAACUAGGAUUCCCUCAGUAACGGCGAGUGAAGCGGGAAGAGCUCAAAUUUGAAAUCUUCAAGGGUUCUACCUUUACGAAUUGUAGUUUAAAGAAGUGUUUUCUGUUGAGGUUUUGGUAAAAGUUCUUUGGAAUAGGACAUCAUAGAGGGUGAGAAUCCCGUAUUUGACCAUUACUUUCCAACUUUGUGAUACACUUUCAAAGAGUCGGAUUGUUUGGGAAUGCAGUCCAAAAUGGGUGGUAAAUUUCAUCUAAAGCUAAAUAUUGGCGAGAGACCGAUAGCGAACAAGUACCGUGAGGGAAAGAUGAAAAGAACUUUGAAAAGAGAGUUAAACAGUACGUGAAAUUGUCAAAAGGGAAGCGUUUGACACCAGUGUUGUUUUCUCGAAAAUCAAUUAAAAAAGGCAGGAUUUUGUGUUGUAUUGACUUUAUCAGCUUUCUGCACUCUUUUCUUGUCUUUUUUAAUGCACUUUUCGUUUAACAAGUCAACAUCAAUUUCUUUUGUUGUAAAAGGGUCAUUGGAAGGUGGCUUUCUUUUCGGAGAAAGUGUUUAUAGCCUUUGGCCUCUGCAAUCGGAGAGAUUGAGGUCUGCAGCGUAGAUCCUUCGGGGUUAGAUACAUUUGUGCUAAGUUAUAGCCUUUCAUAGACAACUCGUUGACUAUGAUCAGUCAUGUAGCCUACUCGCUUAUGCUAUUUUACCUACGCUUAGGAUGUUGAUGUGAUACUGCGAGCA